rnacentral:rRNA from 1 species
GAACGAAUUAAUGCUGAGUUUGCUUAGUAUUAAUUAGUGGCAAACGGGUGAGUAACACGUGGGAAUCUGCCCAUCAGUACGGAAUAACAUUUAAAAAUAAGUGCUAAUACCGUAUGCCCUCUAUAAGGAGGAAAGAUUUAUCGCUGAUGGAUGACCCCGCGGCAAAUUAGGUAGUUGGUAAGGUAAUGGCUUACCAAGCCUGUGAUCUGUAGCUGGUCUGAAAGGACGAACAGCCACACUGGGACUGAAACACGGCCCAGACUCCUACGGGGGGCAGCAGUGGGGAAUAUUGGACAAUGGGCGAAAGCCUGAUCCAGCAGUGCCGCGUGAGUGAUGAAGGCCUUAGGGUUGUAAAGCUCUUUUAGUAGGGAUGAUAAUGACAGUACCUACAGAAAAAGCCCCGGCUAACUCCGUGCCAGCAGCCGCGGUAAGACGGAGGGGGCUAGCGUUGUUCGGAAUUACUGGGCGUAAAGGGCGCGUAGGCGGUUUAAUAAGUUAGGAGUGAAAUCCCAGGGCUUAACCCUGGAACUGCUUCUAAAACUGUUAGGCUAGAGUAUGGUAGAGGGUGAUGGAAUUUCUAGUGUAGAGGUAAAAUUCUUAGAUAUUAGAAGGAACACCAGUGGCGAAAGCUGUCAUCUGGGCCAUUACUGACGCUGAGGCGCGAAAGCGUGAGGAGCAAACAGGAUUAGAUACCCUGGUAGUCCACGCUGUAAACGAUGAGUGCUAGAUAUUGGGGGAUUUUUCUUUCAGUUUCGUAGCUAACGCAUUAAGCACUCCGCGUGGGGAGUACGGUCGCAAGAUUAAAACUCAAAGGAGUUGACGGGGGCCCGCACAAGCGGU